AACGCACCUUGCACCCUUUGGUAUUCCGAGGGGUACACCCGUUUGAGUGUCAUUGUAAUCUCACUCCGACGACUUUUUUUGGUUGUCUGGAGGUGGACUUGGACUCUGCUGUGUUAACAACAGCUGGUCUGAAAUGCAUGAGUGCACCCUGCUACUGCAGCGUCUUCAGUGUGAUAAGUAUCCUCACUGAGCAAGUUCCCCUUGAGGGACACGCUUUGCCUGGCGGGCUCUGCGCUUCAAACCGUCUUGCAACAAACCUUGACAAUUUGACCUCAAAUCGGGUGGGAUUACCCGCUGAACUUAA
rnacentral:misc_RNA from 1 species